rnacentral:rRNA from 1 species
AUUGAACGCUGGCGGCAUGCCUUACACAUGCAAGUCGAACGGCAGCACGGGAGCAAUCCUGGUGGCGAGCGGCGAACGGGUGAGUAAUAUAUCGGAACGUGCCCAGGCGUGGGGGAUACGGGAGCGAAAGCUACGCUAAGACCGCCUACGAACUGGGGAUGAAAGCGGGGGAUCGCAAGACCUCGCGCGAUUUGAGCGGCCGAUGUCAGAUUAGGUAGUUGGUGGGGUAAAGGCUCACCAAGCCGACGAUCUGUAGCUGGUCUGAGAGGACGACCAGCCACACUGGGACUGAGACACGGCCCAGACUCCUACGGGAGGCAGCAGUGGGGAAUUUUGGACAAUGGGCGCAAGCCUGAUCCAGCAAUGCCGCGUGCAGGAUGAAGGCCUUCGGGUUGUAAACUGCUUUUGUACGGAGCGAAAAGGCUCUCUCUAAUACAGGGGGCUCAUGACGGUACCGUAAGAAUAAGCACCGGCUAACUACGUGCCAGCAGCCGCAGUAA